GUAUGAAAGGCUUAGUGGACAUGGCAUCUGCCCGGUAAGCGGAACACUGUGGGUUCGAUUCCCAUCCCUGGACA